rnacentral:rRNA from 1 species
UACGUAGGUGGCAAGCGUUAUCCGGAAUUAUUGGGCGUAAAGAGCGCGCAGGUGGUUGAUUAAGUCUGAUGUGAAAGCCCACGGCUUAACCGUGGAGGGUCAUUGGGAACUGAUCGACUUGAGUGCAGAAGAGGGAAGUGGAAUUCCAUGUGUAGCGGUGAAAUGCGUAGAGAUAUGGAGGAACACCAGUGGCGAAGGCGGCUUCCUGGUCUGUAACUGACACUGAGGCGCGAAAGCGUGGGGAGCAAACAGGAUUAGAUA